GUUUUUUUUUUAACAAGCAAACAUCUUUUUUACUCGGCAGACACAAAAACAAUACAAACUAAUGUGAAUGUUACAUGUUACGUAAUCUUGAAAAAUGUUAACAAGUAAACAAAUUUAACUUGCAUCUCAAUCAGACACCCUACGAACUCCCAAAAGUAGAUCUACAAUUUGCUACACAAGAAGAUAAAAUAUCCAAUGGUACAAUUCACUCUGAAGAAAUCAACAAUAGAGUGUGCUGGGCCCACUAAUCAGCUGACGUAAUGCAGGCAUAAUGAUGUAACAUCCCCUGAUUAAGGAAUCAUUGCAGCUAGAUCGAAAUGAUGAAACCAGCUCUUGAAUUUGCCAUACAUGAUCCAGACUAUGUCCAUUAACAUUGUAGAUCUCGUUGCAGGCAUCUCAGAAUAUCUUUUAAUAGCAGAUUCAUCUUCAGAUCAAACGGAACUUGCUCUUCACUUCAGUUAGACCACACAUGAACCAAUCCAUGCCUAUUACCAGUGUAGAU
rnacentral:misc_RNA from 1 species